GUGGAAUUCAUUAUGUAACCUAAGCGUGGCCUCGAACUCCCUGUGUGAUCUUCCUACCUCUGCCUUCCAUGAGCCACUAUGCCUGGCUUCCAAAUCUAUUUUUUUUUUUAUAAAGGAAUGGAAAUAAAGGAAGUCUGACAUAUCCAAGUGGAAGAAAUUCCCUCACCCACUUCUGGAAACGGCCAAGCUCCAAGACUAUAUUAAAAGGAGAGAGCUGGCUGGGUGCCAGUGUUGACUGCGCUCUGCUUCCUCACUGUGGACUGAACGUGGCCAGCUGCCUCAAGCUCCUGAUCCCAUACCUUCCCCACCAUGAUGGACUGUUACCUGGAACUGUAAGCUGAAAUAAAUCCUUCCACCUUAAACUGACAUU